AAACCGCGAAUGGCUCAUUAAAUCAGUUAUGGUUCAUUAGAUUGUACCCACAUUUACUUGGAUAACUGUGGUAAUUCUAGAGCUAAUACAUGCAACACAGAGUCCCGACCAGUGAUGGGAGGGANGCUUUUAUUAGAUCAAAACCAAUCGGUGGCGGGUAGGCUCNCCCAUCCGUCCAUCGUUUAUUUUGGUGACUCUGAAUAACUUUGUGCUGAUCGCACGGUCCUAGCACCGGCGACGCAUCUUUCAAAUGUCUGCCUUAUCAACUGUCGAUGGUAGGUUCUGCGCCUACCAUGGUUGUAACGGGUAACGGGGAAUCAGGGUUCGAUUCNGGAGAGGGAGC
rnacentral:rRNA from 1 species